rnacentral:rRNA from 1 species
GAUGAACGCUGGCGGCGUGCCUAAUACAUGCAAGUCGAGCGAACGGACGAGAAGCUUGCUUCUCUGAUGUUAGCGGCGGACGGGUGAGUAACACGUGGAUAACCUACCUAUAAGACUGGGAUAACUUCGGGAAACCGGAGCUAAUACCGGAUAAUAUUUUGAACCGCAUGGUUCAAAAGUGAAAGACGGUCUUGCUGUCACUUAUAGAUGGAUCCGCGCUGCAUUAGCUAGUUGGUAAGGUAACGGCUUACCAAGGCAACGAUGCAUAGCCGACCUGAGAGGUUGAUCGGCCACACGGGACCUGAGACCCGGUCCAGACCCCUACGGGACGCAGCAGUAGGGAAUCUUCCGCAAUGGGCGAAAGACUGACGGGGCAGCGCCGCGUGAGUGAUGAAGGUCUUCGGAUCGCAAAGACCUGUUAUUAGGGAGGAACAUAUGUGUAAGUAAGUGUGCACAUCUUGACGGUGCAUAAUCAGAAAGCCACGGCUAACUACGUG